UGGGGAAUAUUGGACAAUGGGGGCAACCCUGACCCAGCCAUGCCGCGUGUGUGAAGAAGGCCUUUUGGUUGUAAAGCACUUUAAGCAGGGAGGAGAGGCUAAUGGUUAAUACCCAUUAGAUUAGACGUUACCUGCAGAAUAAGCACCGGCUAACUCUGUGCCAGCAGCCGCGGUAAUACAGAGGGUGCGAGCGUUAAUCGGAAUUACUGGGCGUAAAGCGAGUGUAGGUGGCUCAUUAAGUCACAUGUGAAAUCCCCGGGCUUAACCUGGGAACUGCAUGUGAUACUGGUGGUGCUAGAAUAUGUGAGAGGGAAGUAGAAUUCCCAGGUGUAGCGGUGAAAUGCGUAGAGAUCUGGAGGAAUACCGAUGGCGAAGGCAGCUUCCUGGCAUAAUAUUGACACUGAGAUUCGAAAGCGUGGGUAGCAAAACAGGAUUAGAUACCCUGGUAGUCCACGCCGUAAAACGAUGUCUACUAGCCGUUGGGGUCCUUGAGACUUUAGUGGCGCAGUUAACGCGAUAAGUAGACCGCCUGGGGAGUACGGCCGCAAGGUUAAAAAC
rnacentral:rRNA from 1 species